UACAGAGGUCCCAAGCGUUGUUCGGAUUCACUGGGCGUAAAGGGUGCGUAGGUGGCCAGGUAAGUCUGAUGUGAAAGCUCGGGGCUCAACCCUGAGUCGGCCGUCGAUACUGGUCUGCUUGAGCACUGUAGAGGCAGGUGGAAUUCCGGGUGUAGCGGUGGAAUGCGUAGAGAUCCGGAAGAACACCGGUGGCGAAGGCGGCCUGCUGGGCAGUAGCUGACGCUGAGGCGCGACAGCGUGGGGAGCAAACAGG
rnacentral:rRNA from 1 species